rfam:Mustela putorius furo unplaced genomic scaffold scaffold00039, whole genome shotgun sequence.
GCUCGCUCUGGCAGAGCAUUUACUACAAUUGAAAUGACGUGGAGAAGGUCGGUUUGGGCUCUGCACAAGGAUGACAUGCAAAUUCACGAGGCGUUCCAUAUUUGA